rnacentral:lncRNA from 1 species
UUUUUUUUUUUUUUUUUUUUUUUGUGAAUGACUGUAACAGUAGAACCAAUAUAGGGAAGUGGUGAACAGUGACCAAGCUACCAAAUAGUAUCAGGAUAUGAUUAGCAUGCUUCUCAAAAUAUGUAUAAAUGGACAAUUCAAGCUGGCAAAACGGUCAAAAAACACAAUUAAAAAAAAAAAAAAAGUGUAGAACUGAAUUGAAUUAUAAGUCUUUUAAACAGAAUUGGUUUGAACGACUAAUUAGACCUUUAAGGACGAGUUAACUUUCAAGAAUUAAAGUGAAAAAUAUUACACGUUGCUUGUAUGUAAAUUUAUUCUUUUGCAAUCCCUUUGCGUGUCUUUGUAUUGUUUGGAUUGCACAUUAUUUAUACUUUAUUUGCACGCUGACUUACUUUAUUAAUACAAUUUUUAAUUUUUUUUAUUUCACAUAUAUCAAAUCAAAAAAGUGUUACACUAUUUUUUUUUGAUAAAAUUAUCUCGAAAAAGUGCUACUAUAUUUAUUCUUUUCCAAUUCGCCCCAUGUCUCCAUACCUUUUAAAUUCUUUUCCGGAAGGCCCGUUUUAAAGCAGCAGGCCAGGGGAUGUUUGGGGGGGCGGGGGGCGAGCGGGGAAUCAUUUCCCCACAUCAUUUAAUAAAUUACAUAGAAAUUUUAUAUAUCCAUAUAAAUUAGUAUUAGUUAACGCUUAAUUAGCUAUUUGUAACUGGAAUUAAUUAGUUUUUUUUAGCUAGAAUAUUACUAAUAGUAACAGUAUUUUAUUUAUAGUUGUUCUUUUUUCCUCUUUUUUUUUAAAAAAAAAAGUUUGAUGAGUACAAGAAGAAAGAACUUAUAAUUCGAAACUAUUCUGACAAACCCUUAAUUAUAAGAGCUAAGAGGAAUAGCUACAAUCGGUCAAGUAGACUGGAGAAAAUAAAACGAGGGAACAAGAAUCAAGACUGAAGUCCUCCUGUCAUGUUACUUCUUUAUUCGCUACAAACAAGAUGUUCAUCAGCCUGCUUUAAGGAAAUCUAACAAGACAACUAGUUGAACUAUUUCAAGAGUUCUCGCGGAAUUUCCAGUUAUCUAAAUUUAUCUAGACCUAUCAUGCAUAUAUAUGCUCCUUGAAUUGCUACCUCACCAUGCCAACAAGAAGUUCGGUCACUAGUACAAGGGAGAGGCAGGGGCGGGGGGAGUUACUUGUUGACGGGUGGCCCUGCCCCAAAAUCGCCCUGUUGCCAUCCAUUACUCCAUAUUCAAGUCAUUGUAACUGUACUAAGCAUAAGCAUGGCCAGGAGUAGUGAUAAGGCAAAAUAUUAGUGGAGUUUGGAUUCAUCGAUGUACAAUCCCAAGUCCUUAUAAAGGUACUAAGCAUGAGCAUCGUCAGAGGUUACUGUAAUUGUAAGGCAAAAUAUGAAUGGAGUUUGGAUUCGUCCAUGUACAAUAUUAAGGCAUGAGCAUAGUCAGUAGUGUAAUAAGAAUAGUUUGGAGCAGUAGUUAGAAUAUUAGCAGAGUUUGGAGUAGAAGAGGGAAGGGGCAGGCAGUAGAAUGGUAGAAGUGGAACUAGAGUGGUUGUUGGGGAGGCAGGCAGCAGGCUUGGUUUUGCAUCUCCCCUUCCCUGCAAAAGAAAAGUUAUAUAGGUAAUAAAUCAUCGCUAUUCAUUACUCCACAAUGGGAAGAAAAAAUUGCUCCAAAAUUUACUUGUUUUGUCUCACUUCUGGGUGGAGGUACCCAUGAACUCAGUGGCAUUUCCUACAAAAAUUUUCAGGUUAAUCCAAGUAACUUCAUUAAUCUUUUCUUUUUCAGUUCUUCGUUAAAAUAUAUAUAUAUAUAUAUAUAUAUAUAUAUAUAUAUAUAUAUAUAUUCCAAGUAAGUUCAGCAAUCUUUUCUGUUAAGAAUUCCUUAAUUUCUGAUCCAAGUAAGUUUAGUAAUAUUUUCUAUUAAGAAUUCCUUAAUUUCUGCAAAUUAUAAGAAGUAUGGUACGUUUCAUGUACCUCAAGGUUAUCAACAUCAUCCGCAGCAGUAUCAUUAAGGUUCAUAUCCUGUUAUAAUCUAUUUGUUAAUUCACACACACCAAAUGACGUUGAUUUACGAUUCAUGAUUUUUUUUUUUUUUUUUUUAUAUAAGAAAAUCAUGAAUCGUGAAUCAACGUCAUUUGGAGUGUGUGAAUUAACAAAUAAAUUAUAGCAGGAUAUGAUUUGAACACGUAACAUAUACGUAAAAUAUGAUGGUAGAAUUAAGUAAAAUCUCACCUCUUUUUAUCCACCAAAUCAAGUAAGCGGCCAUUUGAUGUCGCAACCAAAUGUAGAUUCUUGUUUUCUGCUGCUUCAUCACCAUCAAACACCGCUUCCUGAACCCAUUUCUCAGGCGACUUUUGCGUCGAGAAUCAGACGGUGGUGGGAUUAAGUAAGAAAUGCUCAUGGUGGUGGAGAAUGGAGACUCCUCAAAUUUUGGAUAUCAGCCAUGGGAUCGAAUUAAGGUAGAAGAAGAUGGACUGAGUUGAGACUUGGGACUUGGGACUUGGGAGCAGGGCAUGGGAAAACCCGUCAUAUAUAGAGAGACCAAAGACAGAGAGAGGCGCUAGCGACUCGUGUCAGCUAUCGCGGUCCCUUUGUUUACGUUAGAGGUCAAAUCAUGACAAUGGAAACUACUACCUGAAAAAACACCUGAAAUCCUCGGUGACAUGUUUUAUAUGCCAACCCAAUGUCACCAAUAGUGUUGUGCCAAGUGUCUUGUUAUUAUUUACACUUUAAUUUUUUAAUAAUUCAACUUGGCUUGGUUUAAUACAAGUUUAAAUAAUAACAUGACACUUGGUGCAACACUAUUGAUGGCAUUGAAUUGGCAUAGAAAACAUGUCACCGAGGAUCCCAAGUGCUGAAAAAAUGCAUGCUCACAAAUUCUCCUCUUUUUUUUUUUUUAAAAAAAAUUUAAAUAAAAUGUUCACUUUUUCCUUGCAAUUUCUUGCCUUCCAUUCAUACUUGAGAAUAAUCUUUAUCGUCUUUUGUCUCAUAAAACUCUCAAAUAACGUUUUAAUGUUUACAAAUUUGUCUUUUCUCUUGGUUUUCUUUUCCUUAAUUUAUAUUCUUUUUUUGGUUUUCCCUUGCUCUUAAAACUCACACGCUAGACUUAGCAUCCUAUACUUGGCAAUUAGUUUGCAUCUCAUUCUUCGAAAUCUUCUGCUAUGAACCAGAGGUGCACAGAUGCACCCUCUUCAUCGAGCCUAUAUCAGCAGGAAAACAAAAAUUCUCAUCGAGCCUAUUUUAGCGUACUCAAGUAAAUGACCGUCAUGUCGAUCUGCAAAAGUCCUUAUUUUCAUUGCCAAGAGUAGUAGUAUAAGCAUGUAAUCAAAACUCACAGAACUUCCAUAACCCCCCCCCCCCCCCCCAAAACAACAAAAAAUGUAUUUGAAGAAGCUUUCUAAGGAGAUUUCAUGGCGCAUCAUGAGUAAGUGACCGUCAUGCUUCAACCUUCAUCUCACCUAUGAAAGUUUGUUUCGUGAAAAUAUAAUCCUAACAAGCGGUCCCGGACAGUUAAAAGAGGGACCAAGCCCUUAUUGGUCCUCAUCCAAUUGUAGGGUAGCAAUCCACCACCCUAUCUACUCUUUGACAAGGCUACAAAUUGAGGUGGGAGUAAAGGAUGACCUCGUCCUCCCGCUAGACUCAUUUAAGGCACAAGUAGUGAGGCAGCCUCUAAAGGUUACCCCGCUAUGCAAACCACAUCUCUGACCAUGAAGUUGAUGCGACAGAGAAAUUUGCUUCUCCGAUCACCUACAUGUGGGGCAAUUGAUUAAGAAGCCCCCCCAUAACCAACCAACCAAAUCCCAAUUGCUCCUCAAGUAUGCAUGUCAGUGGAAAGAUAUGGUGAAAUCAUGCAUAGUGGAAGGAAUGAAGAUCAUUUGAUGAUCCAUCAUGUUAUUGGGUGGACUAUAGACUGUAACUUCCCAUAUAAUCCUUGUUUAAUUAGUUCAAUUUAUUUGGUUGUUCAUCUGAUGUUAUUCAUCAUCAAGAGUUGUGCUAUCUGGUGACAAAACAAAAAAAAAAAAAAAAAAAUUUGCUUGCAAAAGCACCCGGAAGUCAGUGACAAAUUAUCAAUACAGUAAUAUUAACACUGCUGUUUACGCGUUCCUCAAAAAGAAAUCAUCAAGGCGUAAGACCUAGAUUCGAUGACAAAUUCAUCCAUACAAGAUCAAUUUUUCAAGUAGAUUCAUCAUCCACGGGCUACAACUACAAGAGGAGAAAUAGCUCUCCAGUUCUGAACAGAGAGUUUUGCCCCUUUUCCUCUCCAACUCCUGUACAGCUAUCAAGACAAAUGGGGAUGAGUCCAUUGACCUUAAGCAUAAACAUCUCUUGACCAAACGAUUUCAGCCCAUUUUUGGACUGCAGCACCUACCCUUGAUCUCUAAUGACCUUUAAUUGCUGAACCCUUCCGUUUCGGCCAAGAUCAAGAUUUGCCGGAUCAUAUCAUCAAAAAGAAUCACAUGGGUUCUCCGUCUCGCUUCCGGGGGCGUCCCCUGAAUUGCUGUCGGACAAGAUACUCAAUUUAUUGAGCUACUAAUCUGAUAAGGUGUGAUCGUGCCAACACAAAAGCAUGGUGACGCAGCGCCUGAGGAUGUAGAUUCUUGUUUUCUGCUGCUUCAUCACCAUCAAACACCGCUUCCUGAACCCAUUUCUCCGGCCGCUUUUGCGUCCAGAGCCAGACGACGGUGGGAUUAAGUAAGAAAUACUCAUGGUGGUGGAGACUGGAGACUCUCUGCCUGGAACUUCGGAAAUUAGCUUUGAGAUAGAAUUAAGGGAGAAGAAGAUUGAUUGCGCUGGGAGCAGAGUAUAGGAAAGCCCGUCAUAUAUAGAGAGGCCAGAGAGAGAGAGGCUAGUGCUAGAUAUCGUGGUCCCGUUGUUUAAGUUUGCGGUCAUAUCAUAAUAAU